rnacentral:lncRNA from 1 species
CAGGAGGUGCGGGCCUGGCCCUCGGGGCUGGUCCAUUAGCUGCUGCUUCCUUCCGGGGCGUCUGAGUCGGUGGUUAAUUUCCCACCCGAUCAGUCUCCGCGGCGUCUGCUCACGAACACGCUGGUUUCUUCCUGGGGCUCCUCUCUGAUCUGACUCCGUACCUGGUCACCUUCGUUCCCUCAGAUGCAGAUACCGAGGCACUGAGACUGCCAGCAGCGUGCAAUGGUGGGAAUGUCCCCAAGGCAGAAGUGAAUCAAGAUUCUUGAAUGAUGAGAGCUCCAUUGAAAGAAAAAAGAUGCACUAAGUGAGGAAACCAACAUUGAACACCUACUCUACCAGGAACAUCAGAACAGGAAGGUACAUCCUUAACAGCAGUAAUUCAGGACUUAGCAAGCUCUCUGUUUCACCAACCAACCCUUUAAGUCAACAACCUCCUACUCAUCCAUUGGCACAUGUUUUCCUGAGUGAUAAUUGCCACUCUUCCCACAGGUGAACAGGGUAAGAAGUGGAAAACACCCCAGGCCGAGGCAGCGCCUGCAGCUUGCUUUGUUUUGUUUUGAAAUUGCUUGAGAGAAAUCUUCCUUGUACCUCCUAAGCUGCCUGUCAUAUGUGAAAAGCCGGAACG